rfam:Gossypium hirsutum cultivar TM-1 unplaced genomic scaffold scaffold3528.1, whole genome shotgun sequence
AAUAAAAAAGAUAAUCCAUUUUUACUGUUAAAAACUAGUAUAAUUGACGGAAUAACUAUACGGUUAUACGUGGAGUGACACAUAUACCUUAUGUUGAUAUAUAUAACCAGUUUUUAACAAUAGAAAUAAAUAAAAUCUUUAAUA